AGAGUUUGAUCCUGGCUCAGAAUCAACGCUGGCGGCGUGCCUAACACAUGCAAGUCGAACGCGAAAGGGGAGCAAUCCCUGAGUAGAGUGGCAAACGGGUGAGUAACACGUGGGUGACCUGCCUCAGAGUGGGGGAUAACGUCCCGAAAGGGACGCUAAUACCGCAUAACAUCCUGCCUUUGGAAAGGCGGAGAUCAAAGCCGGGGAUCGCAAGACCUGGCGCUUGGAGAGGGGCCCGCGUCUGAUUAGCUAGUUGGUAGGGUAACGGCCUACCAAGGCAACGAUCAGUAUCCGGCCUGAGAGGGCGGACGGACACACUGGGACUGAGACACGGCCCAGACUCCUACGGGAGGCAGCAGUGGGGAAUUGUUCGCAAUGGGCGCAAGCCUGAGGACGCAACGCCGCGUGGAGGAUGAAGAUCUUCGGGUCGUAAACUCCUGUCGAGCGGGAAGAACACCUUCCGGGCGAAUAUCCUGGAAGGCUGACGGUACCGCUAAAGGAAGCCCCGGCUAACUCCGUGCCAGCAGCCGCGGUAAU
rnacentral:rRNA from 1 species